rnacentral:tRNA from 1 species
UGUCAGAAGUGGGAUUCGAACCCACGCCUCCAGAGGAGACUGCGACCUUAACGCAGCGCCUUAGACCGCUCGGCCAUCCUGAC